rnacentral:snRNA from 10 species
GUGCUUGCUCUGGCAGCACAUACACUAAAAUCAGCAUGACAGAGAAGGAAGGUUACAUGGCUCCUGCACAGGAUGGAUACACAAAUUCGUGAAGCAUUCCAUAUUUUU